rfam:Cucumis melo, WGS project CAJI01000000 data, contig: 24651
AUUCAUAUGACUUGGGUAUAAGGGGGAAAGACUAAUCGAAUCGUCUAGUAGCUGGUUUACUCUGAAUUUUCCUUCAAGAUAGCUGAAGCUCACAAGUAAGUUCUAUCGGAUAAAGUUAAUGAUUAGAGGCAUCGAGGGUGCAACGUGCUCGACCUAUUCUCAAACUUUAAAUAGGUAGCACAGUCCGGCAGCUUUGUUGAGCCGCACCACAAAUCAAGAGCUCCAAGUGGGCCAUCUUUGGUAAGUAGAACUGGCAAUGCGGGAUGCACCGAAAGCUAGGUUACGAUGCCUAAUUGCAUGCUAACCUAGAUCCCACAAAGUGUGUUGGUUGAUUAAGUCUGCAGAACGAUGGUCAUGGAAGUCAAAAUCCAUUAAGGAGUGUGUAACAACUCACCUGCUGAAUCAACUAACCUCGAAAAUGGAUGGCGUUGAAGCGCGCGACCUAUACCCAAUCAUCGGAGCAAGAGUCAGGCCCCGAUGUAGUAAGGAGCAGUGGUCACCGCAAAAUUUUGGGCGUGAGUACUGGCGGAAUAACUGUCGGUGCAGAUUUUGGUGGUAGUAGCAAAUAUUCAAAUGAGAACUUUGAAGGUUGAAGUGGGGAAAGGUUCCAUGUGAACGGCACUUGCACAUGGGUUAGUCGAUCCUAAGAGACGGAGGAAACUUGUCUGAUAGUACGACAGUGCAAACUUUGAAAGGAAUUGGGUUAAAAUUUCUGAAGCGGGAUGUGGCAACUAACAACAAUGUAAGGGAUUUUGGAGACGUCGACGGGGGCUUCGGGAAGAGUUAUCUUUCCUGUUUAACAGCUUGCCCACCCUGGAAAUGACUUGCCAAAGGUAGGGUCUAGUGGCUGGAAGAACACUGCACGUUGCGUGGUGUCCGCUGCGCUCCCGAUGGCCCUUGAAAAUCUAAAGGAUCGAGUGCCUCUCACGUCCAAUCGUACUCAUAGCCGCAUCAUGUCUCUAAGGUGAACAACCUCUGGUCGAUGAAAUAAUGUUGGCAAGAGAAGUCGACAAAAUGAAUCCAUAACCUCAGGAAAAAGAUUGCCUCUAAGGGUUAGGCAUAAAGGUCUCAGUCUUGAACCCGUCAAACCCAUCAACUGUCGAUAGAAUGCUUGAGUUGCUUCCAUAGCAAGAGCAGGUCGCCCCGUGUCAAUUAGGGGAUGAGCUGGGAAUGACUCUUUCGAAGGCCUUCCCCAAGCGUCGAACAAUCAACUCAGAACUGGUACAGACAAGGAGAAUCUGACUAUUUAAUUAAAACAAAGCAUUGUCAUGGUCCCUGCGGAUGCUAACGCAAUGUGAUUUUGGGCUAGUACUCUAAAUGUUAAAGUGAAGAAAUUCAACCAAGUACAGGUAAACACCGAGAAUAACUAUGACUCUCUUAAGGUAGCCAAAUGCCUCAUCAUCUAAAUAGUGAUGCGCAUGAAUCGAUUAACGAGAUUCCACAGUCACUAUCUACUAUCCAACAAAACCAUAGCCAAGGGAACGGGCUUGGCAAAAUCAGCAAGGAAAGAAGACCCUAUUGAGCUUGACUCUCGUCUAACUUUGUGAAAUGACUUGAAAGGUGUAGGAUAUGUGGGAGCCGAAAGGCGAAAGUGAAAUACCACUACUUAUUCUGUGAAACGAAAGUGGGGCAUUGCCCCUCUUAUUCGACAUAAGGCUUCCUUCAACGAACCAAUCUAGGUGGAAGGCACUCUCAGGUGGGGAGUUUGGCUGGGGAGGCACAUCUGUUAUAAGAUAACACAAGUGUCCUAAAAUGAGUUCAACGAGACCAAAACUCUCAUGUGGAACAAAAGGCUAAAAGCUCGUUUGAUUCUAAUUUCCAGUACGAAUAAGAACCGUGAAAGCGUGGCCUAUCGAUCCUUUAAACCUUCAAAAUUUAAAGCUAGAGGUGUCAAGAAAGUUACCACAAGGAUAACUGGCUUGUGGUAGCCAAGUGUUGCUUUUCUAUGGUUGGUGAGGUACGACCGACGGAGGCUUCGA